AUUUUUCACAAAGUCGCCAUCCCUGCAGGCUUCCAUCAUCUCUCUCCAGGUUAUUGCUGCAAUAGUCAUCUUCACAACUGUUGCUGCUUGUAUUCACUCUUGCCCCAGUUCAUUCUAGCACCAUGGCACACACCUGAAAUACCAGCUAGUGGGGAGGCUGAGGCUGGAGGAUUGCUUGAACCCAGGAGUUCAAGACCAGCCUGGACAAUAUAGCAAGACCCUCUUAAGAAAAAAUGCAAAUCUCAUGUUUCUCCAUUACUUAAAAUCUGUCAUUGGCUUCCUGUUGCUUUUAUUUUAUUUUAUUUAGUUAGUAAUUUUGAGACACAGUCUCAUUCUGUCACCCAGGCUGGAGUGCAGUGGUGCAAUCUCAGCUCACUGCAACCUCUGCCUCCUGGGUUCAAGCAAUUCUCGUGCCUCAGCCUCCCAAGUAGCUGGGAUAACAGGCGUGUGCCAUCAUGCCUGGCUCAUUUUUUUUCUUUUUGUAUUUUUAGUAGAGGCAGGGUUUCAUCUUGUUGACCAGGCUGGUCUCGAACCGCUGACCUCAAAUGAUCCACCCACCUUGGCCUCCCAAAGUGCUGGGAUUACAGGCAUGAGCCACUGCACCCAGCCAACUUCCUAUUGCUUUUAAAAUAAAGUCCAACAUUAUUGAUGAAGCUCAAAAGCCACUUCAUAAUCUGAAGAACUCCAUUUCUCUAGAUAUAUUGGAUUCCUUUCCCUGAAAAGGAGAAAGUUCUUCCCUUUUGGUCCUAUUUACAUUCUGUUUCCUCAGCUUGGAAUAUUCUUUUCCCUAACUCUUCUGGUUUACUCUAUUUACCUUUCUGUUUUUAACUUAAAUAUUCCUCCUUCAAGGAAUAUUUAAUGAAUAAAUACAGGAUUGGCUAUGGAAAAUCAACUUCCUCAUAAUUUUGUUACUUGUUUAUAGUUAUGCCCUCAGAGAUAUUGCAGGUUUGGUUCCAGAUUGCCACAACAAAGUGAAUAUCUCAAUAAAGCAAGUAAUGUGAAUUUUAUGGUUUCCCAGUGCAUAUAAACAUUGCUUAUACUAUAGUCUAUUAAGUGUGCAAUAUCAUUAUAUCUAAAAAACCAGUGUAUGUACCUUAAUUAAAAUGUACUUUAUUGCUUUAAAAAUGCUAAAAAUCAUCUGAGUCUUUAGUGAGUCAUAAUUUUUUUUUUUAAGACAGAGUCUUGCUUUGUUACCCAGGCUGUAGUGCAGUAGCGCCAUCAUGGCUCACUGCCACCUUGAACUCCGGGGCUCAAGGGAUCCUCCUAUCGCAGCCUCCCAAGUAGCUGGGACUACACGUGUUUGCUACCAUGCCUGGCUAUUUUUUAAUUUUUUUGUAGUGAUAAGAUCUCACCAUGUUAGCCAGGCUGGUCUUGAACUACUGACCUCAAGUGAUCUGCCCGCCUCGGCCUCCCAGAGUGCCAGAGUACCACAUUCUUUAUCAAAAAAGUCUUUUUCAAAAAAAAAAAAAAAAAAGGCAGCUGAAUUACACAGUGUACUGACUUAGCGACAUUGUUCAUUUACAUCUGUGGACUGGCAGGGUAGCACUGCUUUAUAUUCAAUUUCCCCAACUGUCCCCAAAAUGUUUUUUAUGGCCAAUUCACAUGUUACAUUUGGUGGUUUUGUCUGUGUCUCUUUAGUAUCUCUUUUUUUUGGGAGAUGGUCUUGCUCUGUCACAGCCCAGGCUGGAGUGCAGUGACACGAUCUCAGCUCACUGCAACCUCCACCUCCUGAGUUCAAGUGAUUCUCCUGCCUCAGCCUCCCGAGUAGCUGGGAUUACAGGUGUGUGCCACCACACCUGGCUAAUUUUUGUAUUUUUAGUAGAGAUGGGGUUUCACCAUGUCGGCUAGGCUGGUCUUGAACUCCUGACCUCAAGUGAUGCACCCACCUUGGCCUCCCAGAAUGCUGGGAUUACAGGCAUGAGCCUCCGUGUAUGGCCUCUUUAGUCUCUCUUAAUCUAGAAUGAUCUCCUCACUUUUUCUUUUUACCCAAGGCACUGACUUUUUAGAAACCAGGUCUGUUCCACAUUAUGGAUUUGUCUGAUUUUAAGGUGACCAACUGUCUUGGUUUGCCUAGGACUCUCCUAGUUUGAACACUGAUCUUACAUCCUGAGAAACCCCUCAGUCCUGGGUAAACCAGGAUGUUUUGUUUACGUGUGUUCAUGUUUAACUUUUUCUUGACCUAAAUUUCUUAUAAACUUGAAGUUAGGUCUAGUGGCUUGAUUAGACUCACAUUAAAACAUUUUUGAUGGCCGGGCACGGUUGCCCACAUCUGUAAUCCCAGCACUUUAGGAGGCCGAGGCGGGCAGAUCACCUGAGAUCGGGAGUUUGAGACCAGCCUGACCAACAUGGAGAAACCCCAUCUCUACUAAAAAUACAAAAUUAGCUGGGCAUGGUGGUGCACGCCUAUGAUCUCAGCUACUUGGGAGGCUGAGGCAGGAGAAUUGCUUGAACCCGGGAGGUGGAGAUUGCAGUGAGCUGAGAUUGUGCCAUUGCACUCUAGCCUGGGCAACAAGAGCAAAACUCCAUCUCAAAAAAAAACAAAAACAAAAACGAAACAAAACACAUUUUUGACAAGAAUACUUAAGUGGUCUGUGGGCAGUGGCUCAGGUGGAGGCAGGAGGAUCACUUAAGCCCAGGAGUUGAAGACCAGACCCAGCCUGGGUAACGUAGAGAACCAAAUCUUGAGAACCAAAAUAUGGUUUUUUUUUUCUGUGUGAUAGGGUUUUAUAUCAGUUUUAAACAUUUUUUUGAGGGUUUGUUGUUGUUGUUGUUGUUGUUGUUGUUUUCCCAAAAACAGUGUCAUGAAGGAAAGUUUUAAAAUCUUUUUCUCCAACUUGGGCAAUAUGGCAAAACCCUAUCUCCACAAAAAAUAAAAAAAUUAUCCAGGCACAGUGGUGCACACGUGUAGUUCCAGCUACUUUUGGAGGCUGAGGCAGAAGAAUUGCUUGAGCCUGGGAGGUGGAGGCUGCAGUGAGCCAUGGUUUUACCACUGUAUUUCAGCCUGCAUGACAGAGCAAGACCCUGUCUCAAAAAAAUCCAAAAUUUAACAAUUAGCUGGACGUGGUGGUGCAUGUCUGUAGUCCCAGGUACUUAGGAGGCUGAGGUGGGAGGAUUGCUUCAGCCCAGGAGGUUGAGGCUGCAGUGAGCCAUGAUGGUGCCACUGCACUCCAGCCUGGGUGACACAGCAAGAUCCUGUCUCAAAAAACAAAACAACAC
rnacentral:lncRNA from 10 species